rnacentral:rRNA from 1 species
UACGGGGGGAGCAAGCGUUGUUCGGAUUUACUGGGCGUAAAGGGCGUGUAGGCGGCCACCGCAAGUCGACUGUGAAAUCUCCGGGCUUAACUCGGAAAGGUCAGCCGAUACUGCGGGGCUAGAGUGCAGAAGGGGCAACUGGAAUUCUCGGUGUAGCGGUGAAAUGCGUAGAUAUCGAGAGGAACACCUGCGGCGAAGGCGGGUUGCCGGGCUGACACUGACGCUGAAACGCGAAAGCUAGGGGAGCGAACGGG